GGGCUCACUUCAGCAGCACAUACACUAAAACAAGAAGGAUGCAGGGAAGAUUAGCAUGGCCCCUGAGCAAGGAUGACAUGCAAAUUAAUGAAGUGGUCCAUAAUUUU